UACGAAGGGGGCUAGCGUUGCUCGGAAUCACUGGGCGUAAAGGGCGCGUAGGCGGCCGAUCAAGUCGGAGGUGAAAGCCCAGGGCUCAACCCUGGAAUGGCCUUCGAUACUGGUUGGCUCGAGACCGGAAGAGGUCAGUGGAACUGCGAGUGUAGAGGUGAAAUUCGUAGAUAUUCGCAAGAACACCAGUGGCGAAGGCGGCUGACUGGUCCGGUUCUGACGCUGAGGUGCGAAAGCGUGGGGAGCAAACAGG
rnacentral:rRNA from 1 species